rnacentral:rRNA from 1 species
AAACCUGAGAAACCCGAAAGUUCGAAUGAAAAGAUUCAAUAUUCUUCAAUUGGUUGUACAUUUACAUAUGUGAUUAUGUGAUAGUUUUGUUAAUUUCAUUAUCCUUAACCGGAUUUUGAAUGUACAUAUUCUACACCACUUUGUUUAUGAACUAAAUACAACUAUGAAGGUAUGCACUUCUUUUCUAGUAGGACGUUGCGACCCAUUGAAUGUUAAUCUACGGCUACUCGUUAGAGCCUAUUCCUAUUUUACUUAAUUGUAUUUAUGGGAAAUAGAUUUCUGAGUGUGUCCCGAAUAACUGUUCGAUGGUAUUUAUAAAACCAUAAUAUUGGAUCGCCACUUUGUCUGGGCAUUUGGUAUUCAUUCAAGUAUGUAAGGUAAUUUGAAUGUCAGGGGCUCUUGUACUGGCUUUGAAUCCUAACUACUGUUCGAGUGAAAUUUACUAUCAAAUAGUAUCCUUUUAUUGGUCAGCAACGCUGUUGCUUUGGGUACUUUCAGGAC